UACGGGGGGUGCAAGCGUUAUCCGGAAUGAUUGGGCGUAAAGCGUCUGUAGGUGGCUUUUAAAGUCUGCUGUCAAAGCCCAGGGCUCAACCUUGGAAAGGCAGCAGAGAACUUAAAGGCUAGAGUGCGGUAGGGGUAAAGGGAACUCUUUGUGGAACAGUGAAAUGUACAGAGAUAAGGAGGAACACCAGUGGCGAAGGCGCUUUACUGGGCCGCAACUGACACUGAGAGACGAUAGCUAGGGGAGCGAAAAGG
rnacentral:rRNA from 1 species